rnacentral:lncRNA from 1 species
ACCUCCACAAAAUUUCCAAAAUGCUCAGCCUUAUGCACCAUAUGUUCCACCACCAUGGAAAAAUCUGGAAGACACAAUGCAUUCAUUCAUCAGAAAGCAAGAUGUUAUUAACAAUCAAAAUGCACAAACUUUUUCUGAUUUGAAAGAUACUCUUACUAAAGUUGCUUCUGCACUCACAAUUCAAGAAAAAGGAAAAUUUCCAGCCCAACCACAACCAAAUCCUAAGAUUCAACAAAAUCCACCCGCAGACCAAGUCAAGUCAGUUAUAACUCUUCGUAGUGGUAAGGUUGUUGAUAGACCUAUGCCUGAACCUUGUGAAAAUGAUGAAAAUUCAAAGGGUAAGGAAGGACUAAAUGAACUUACACCUAGUGAAGAAAUAACUAGUGUUCCACCUUAACCACCAUUUCCGCAUGCAUUGAAUAAACCAAGGAAAUCAAACCACUCUUCUGAAAUUUAUGAAAUCUUUAAGCAAGUGAAAGUUAACAUUCCUCUAUUAGAUGCAAUCAAGCAGGUACCUUCAUAUGCCAAAUUUUUAAAAGACUUGUGCAUUGUUAAAGAGGAAAUUGAAGGUCAGAAAUAGUGCUUUCAUGGCCGAACAGGUAAGUACAAUUAUGUCUACUAAUAAUAAGUUAAAAUAUAAAGAUCCUGGUUGUCCUACCAUUUCUUGUAUUAUUGGUAAUCACAUAAUUGAGCAUGCUUUACUAGAUCUUAGUGCUAGUGUUAAUUUGCUUCCAUAUUCAGUUUAUCUUUAACUUAAUCUUGAUGAGUUAAAAUCAACUUCAACUACACUUUUGCUUGCCGAUAGAUCAGUUAAAGUACCAAAAGGAAUAGUGGAAGAUGUUUUAGUACAAGUUGAUAAAUUCAUAUACCAUGUGGAUUUUAUUGUCUUGGAAACUGAACCUGUUGUGAAUAAUUACAAACCAAUUCCUAUAAUUUUAGGUCGACCAUUUUUAGCAACUGCUAAUGCUUUGAUUAAUUGUAGGAAUGGUUUAAUGAAUUUAUCUUUUGGGAAUAUGACUUUGGAAUUGAAUGUUUUCAACAUGUACAGGCAACCUAAUGAAGAAAAUGAGAAUGAAGAUGAUACUGAUGAUAAAAAGAAUUGCUUGAAUCUUGUAUUGAGGAAAAUAUUCAAAAAGGGGAAUUUUCUGAACUCUUUGAUGUUUGUUUAGUUAAUUCAAUUGAGUCAAAUAAGCAACUUGAACUUAAUAUUUCUAAUAUAAAUUCGUUGCUUGAUUCUGUGCAGACUUCACAAAAUUAUGAUGACGAGCCAAAAUUUGAGGAGCUUGGAAGUAUUGAAAAGACAGAACAACAAGAAGCACUUAAACUGGAAUUGAAACAUUUGCCUGAAGGAUUGAAGUAUGCUUUUCUUGGAGAAGAACAAACUUAUCCUGUUGUGAUUUCUUCUACUUUAACAAGCGACCAAGAAGGUAAGUUACUAACUGUUCUUAAAAAGCAUAAAAAUGCAAUUGGAUGGACUUUAAAUGAUAUUAAAGGCAUUAAUCCCUUAAUAUGCACACAUAGAAUUAAUUUGGAAGAAAAUGCUAAAACAUGUCAACAACCUCAAAGAAGAUUAAACCCACACAUGAGAAGUCCUUAAAUUUCUUAAUGUGGGAAUUAUCUACCCUAUUUCUGAUAGUAAGUGGGUAAGUUCUACACAAGUAGUGCCUAAAAAAUCUGGAAUCACUGUUGUUAAAAAUGAAAAAGGUGAAUUAAUUCCAACACAAAUUACAUCUAGUUGGCGCAUGUGCAUUGAUUAUAGAAAGUUAAAUGAAGCCACUAGAAAAGAUCAUUUUCCAUUACCAUUCCUUGACCAAAUCGUAGAAAGAGUAGCAGGACAUCCCUACUACUGUUUUUUAGAUGGAUAUUCAAGUUAUUAUCAAAUUCCUAUAGCACUUGAGGACCAAGAAAAUACCUCAUUUACAUGUCCUUUUGGGACAUUUGCAUUUAAAAGAAUGUCAUUUGGGCUUUGUAAUGCUCCUGCAACAUUUCAAAGAUGUAUGUUAAGCAUUUUUUGUGAUAUGGUUGAACAUUGUUUAGAGGUCUUUAUGGAUGAUUUAACUGUGUUUGGGAAUUCUUUUGAUGAUUGCCUUGAUAAUUUGGAGAAAGUUUUGAGAAGAUGUGUUGAAAAAGAACUCGUGUUGAAUUAGGAAAAAUGUCACUACAUGGUUACUUCUGGAAUUGUUUUGGAUCAUGUUGUUUCUGUUAAAGGAAUUGAAGUUGAUAAAGCAAAAAUUUAAUGUCAUUUGGGCUUUGUAAUGCUCAUGCAACAUUUCAAAGAUGUAUGCUAAGCAUUUUUUGUGAUAUGGUUGAACAUUGUUUAGAGGUCUUUAUGGAAGAUUUAACUGUGUUUGGGAAUUCUUUUGAUGAUUGCCUUGAUAAUUUGGAGAAAGUUUUGAGAAGAUGUGUUGAAAAAGAACUCGUGUUGAAUUAGGAAAAAUGUCACUACAUGGUUACUUCUGGAAUUGUUUUGGAUCAUGUUGUUUCUGUUAAAGGAAUUGAAGUUGAUAAAGCAAAAAUUGAAUCAUAUCUAAAUUGCCACAACCAAAAACAGUUAGAGAUGUGCGAUCUUUUUUAGGACAUGCAGGAUUUCAUAGGAGGUUUAUAAAAAACUUUAGUGUUAUAUCUAAACCACUUUGUAACCUCUUAUUAAAAGAUGCACCGUUUGACUAGAAUGAUGAUUGCCAAAAAUCUUUUGAGAAAAUAAUUUGUCUUUUAACAUCUGCACCUAUUAUGCAAUCUCUUGAUUGGUUUUUGCCCUUUGAAUUAAUGUGUGAUGCAAGUGAUUUUACUGUUGGUGUUGUUUUAGGAUAAAAAAGGGAUGGUAAGCCUUUUGUGAUUUAUUAUGCGAGUAAGACUUUGGAUAGUGCUCAAAUGAAUUAUUCUACAACUGAAAAAGAAUUACUUGCUGUGGUAUUUUCAUUAAACAAAUUCCGUUCAUAUUUGCUUGGCUUUAAAUCUGUUGUGUUUAUUGACCACGCUGUUAUGAGAUAUUUGAUGAGUAAACAGGAUGCCAAACCGAGACUAAUUCGUUGGAUUUUGUCUUUGAAUUAAUGCGUGAUGCAAGUGAUUUUGAUGUUGGUGUUGUUUUAGGACAAAGAAAUGAUGAUAAGCCUUUUGUGAUUUAUUAUGCAAGUAAGACUUUGGAUAGUGCUCAAAUGAAUUAUUCUACAACUGAAAAAGAAUUACUUGCUGUGGUAUUUUUGCUGUGGUAUUUGCAUUAAACAAAUUCCGUUCAUAUUUGCUUGGCUCUAAAUCUAUUGUGUUUGAUGACCACGCUGCUGUGAGAUAUUUGAUGAGUAAACAGAAUGCCAAACCGAGACUAAUCUGUUGGAUUUUGUUACUUCAAGAAUUUGACCUUACCAUCAAAGAUAAAAAGGGUGCUGAAAAUGUCGUUGCUGAUCAUCUAUCAAGACUCACAUCCGAAUUCUGCAAUGAUAUAACACCCAUCAAUGAUUCUUUCCCUGAUGAAUUUUUAUUUUCUAUUACUUCAAUGCCAUGGUAUGCUAACAUUGUUAAUUUUCUUGUUACAGGUAAAAUGCCUUUGCAAUGGAAUGCUCAAGAGAAGAAGAAAUUUUUUGUUGAAGUAAAGAAAUUUUAUUGGGAUGAUCCUUAUUUGUUCAAAUAUUGCUCAGAUCAAAUUUUUCGGCGAUGUAUUCUUGAUAAUGAGGUAAGUAGUGUCAUUAAUUUUUAUCAUUCUGAAGCAUGUGGUGGCCACUUUUCGUCAAGAAAAACUACUGCUAAACUUUUGCAGUGUGGAUUUUAUUGGCCUACCAUGUUCAAAGACACAUGAAUUUUGCAAAACUUGUGAAAAAUGUCAAAAAUUGGGAUCAAUUACAAAAUGAAACAUGAUGCCCUUAAAUCCCAUACUUGAAAUUGAAAUAUUUGACUGUUGGGGAAUUGAUUUCAUGGGUCCGUUUCCAUCAUCUUUUGGAUUUGUGUAUAUAUUAGUUGCAGUUGAUUAUGUCUCCAAAUGGAUUGAAGCAAUUUCUUGUCGAAAUAAUGAUAGUAAAACUGUGGUUAAAUUUUUAAGAGAAAACAUUUUAAGUCGAUUUGGAAUCCCUCGAGCCAUUAUCAGUGAUGGAGGUAAGCAUUUUUGUAAUAAGUCAUUUGACUCUUUAAUGAAGAAAUAUGGAAUUACACAUAAAGUUGUUACCCCUUAUCAUCCUCAAACAAAUGGUCAAGUUGAAUUAGCAAAUAGGGAGAUAAAACAAAUUUUGGAAAAAACUGUUAACCCAAACCGAAAAGAUUGGUUUCUUAGACUUAAUGAUGCACUUUGGGCCUACCGUACUGCAUUUAAAACGUCAUUAGGAAUGUCACCCUAUCGGUUAGUUUAUGGUAAACCUUGUCAUUUACCUAUUGAACUUGAACAUAAAUCACUUUAGGCUAUUAAAGCUUUUAAUUCAAAUUUGGAUGAUGCUGGUAAUGUGCGAAAAUUACAAUUGAAUGAACUUGAGGAAUUAAGGAAUGAUACAUAUGAAAAUUUAAGAAUUAUUAAGGCAAGAACAAAAGCAUUUCAUGAUAAAAGAAUUUUUCAAAAAACAUUUGAGAUUGGUCAAAAAGUGUUGCUUUAUAAUUCUCGUCUUCAUUUAUUUUCAGGAAAGUUAAAGUCAAAAUGGAGUGGCCCAUUUGUUGUAAAAAAUGUAUAUUCAUAUGGGGCCAUAAAAAUUGAGAAUCCAAAGAACGAUGUCACAUUUAAAGUUAAUGGUCAAAGAUUAAAACCAUAUCUAGAACAUCACCCACGUGACGAGGACACCGAAAUUAAUUUGGGUGACCCACCAGUUCUUGAUUAAGUCUUUAAUGACUGAUUUUUUUUUGUGUUUUACUAUUAUUUUGCCGUUUCAUUGUUUGAUUUUUUUUUCUCUAGAUUGAUGCACUAUACAUAAUUUUUUUAGCAUUAUUUUUCUUGUUUAAGCGUGUUUGUUUGACAAUUGUUCAUUCUCUCAUCAAUUUUCAUUAUUCAUCAUGAGUACUUCAAUAAGAAACUUCUUUUUCACACAUCUUAAAAGACUUAUACGAGGGAGAUUUAAUAUGAGAAGAUUGAUACAAAGCUAUAAAUCACAUCCACUUUGGGAUCUGCAACCACAGAAUUCGUGUCCUAUGUUGAGGAUCUAGAAGGACAACUUAGAGAAAUAGAGCGUGGUAUAUAUGAAUUUCAAUUAGAUCUUGAGGUUAACUCAAUGAGAGGACGAAUGUAAGUUCAUUUUCCUUUUUACAUUGUGUGUUUAUUUUUGUUGUUCGCCUUCACGUUUGAUUUGAUUUUGCAGCUUUGAUUUUGGUGUAUUUUGGUUUAUUUUCCCGUAUAAAUGGCGUAAGUCGGUAUUAUUGAAGCAAGGUCCGAUUAGCAGGUGAGUUUUCUGAUCCAUAUUAUUUUACUUCACUAUUAUUUUAUCAUUUGCAUUAUUGCAUUUAGUGGUGUGAUUUUGUAUUUAAUAAAUAUUUGUUUUCUUUUACUAUUUGCUUUUGAAUUAUUGAGCCACGAGCUUUACUCGUCAUUUGACAAAUAUGCCAACCCAUUUACAGCUGUUUCUCAUUAUUUCUGUCACCAAGAUCUUUAAAUAUGAGCUCGCUUUUCAAAAACUCACAACUUGUUUUUGAAAGAUUAGUCCAAUGGCAGCAUCUUCGAGUAAACAAUUCAAAAAUAUUUGUAUGUUUUCUGGGUUUCACUAUGGAAAGUACAAAGAGUUUGUUCAGGCAGCAGUAGAUCUUGGUCGUGUCAUAGCAGAGAGGAAACUGCAUCUUGUAUAUGGAGGAGGUGAAUGAGGGUUAUCCAGACUUGUCUCAGAAGCUGUUUUUACUAGAAAAAGCCAAGUACUAGGCAUUAUCCCAAAAGCCAUGAAACCGCUAGUGUGCAUGUCUGGCCCACCAAUUGGAGAAGAAUUAGUGGUAUCAAGUAUGCAAGAGAGAAUAUCUGAAAUGAUGAAUCAUGCUGAUGCUUUUAUUUUCUUGCAGUGGCCCAUUUGUUGUAAAAAAUGUAUAUUCAUAUGGGGCCAUAAAAAUUGAGAAUCCAAAGAACGAUGUCACAUUUAAAGUUAAUGGUCAAAGAUUAAAACCAUAUCUAGAACAUCACCCACGUGACGAGGACACCGAAAUUAAUUUGGGUGACCCACCAGUUCUUGAUUAAGUCUUUAAUGACUGAUUUUUUUUUGUGUUUUACUAUUAUUUUGCCGUUUCAUUGUUUGAUUUUUUUUUCUCUAGAUUGAUGCACUAUACAUAAUUUUUUUAGCAUUAUUUUUCUUGUUUAAGCGUGUUUGUUUGACAAUUGUUCAUUCUCUCAUCAAUUUUCAUUAUUCAUCAUGAGUACUUCAAUAAGAAACUUCUUUUUCACACAUCUUAAAAGACUUAUACGAGGGAGAUUUAAUAUGAGAAGAUUGAUACAAAGCUAUAAAUCACAUCCACUUUGGGAUCUGCAACCACAGAAUUCGUGUCCUAUGUUGAGGAUCUAGAAGGACAACUUAGAGAAAUAGAGCGUGGUAUAUAUGAAUUUCAAUUAGAUCUUGAGGUUAACUCAAUGAGAGGACGAAUGUAAGUUCAUUUUCCUUUUUACAUUGUGUGUUUAUUUUUGUUGUUCGCCUUCACGUUUGAUUUGAUUUUGCAGCUUUGAUUUUGGUGUAUUUUGGUUUAUUUUCCCGUAUAAAUGGCGUAAGUCGGUAUUAUUGAAGCAAGGUCCGAUUAGCAGGUGAGUUUUCUGAUCCAUUUGUUUCUUACAUGCCUAGUUUUGGUAAAAGUACGUUUGCUAAGAAAAGAAGAGCUAAAUGACUUGGCUCAAAAUGUCAUUACUGUGUAAGACUUGGUUGCAAACGAGAAGUUUGUAAAUCUUUAGGAAUGGUGUCUGAUACUCGUGAAGAUAAAAUUAAAUUCGUUAAAGAUGGCCUGAGUAAAGAAUCAUUGGAUGAUAUCUUACGAUCUCUUGAGACGUAUCGUAGCGGACAUGUGCAAUAUGAGAUAUACAAGUUAUGGAGACUAUUCUAAACACAAAGUUCACAGUUUAGUCUUGGGAAUCUGACUCAAAAAGACCAUAUUUGCCAGUUUAUAAGAAAACUGGAUGGGAAGCCUAUCCUUGACCCAUAGAGGGCGUUCAAGCCGUUACUGGACGUAAAACCAGAGGAAUAUGUGAGCCACAAUCACAACUACCAGUAAAUAUCCUUUUACUUCACUAUUAUUUUACUUCACUAUUAUUUUAUCAUUUGCAUUAUUGCAUUUAGUGGUGUGAUUUUGUAUUUAAUAAAUAUUUGUUUUCUUUUACUAUUUGCUUUUGAAUUAUUGAGCCACGAGCUUUACUCGUCAUUUGACAAAUAUGCCAACCCAUUUACAGCUGUUUCUCAUUAUUUCUGUCACCAAGAUCUUUAAAUAUGAGCUCGCUUUUCAAAAACUCACAACUUGUUUUUGAAAGAUUAGUCCAAUGGCAGCAUCUUCGAGUAAACAAUUCAAAAAUAUUUGUAUGUUUUCUGGGUUUCACUAUGGAAAGUACAAAGAGUUUGUUCAGGCAGCAGUAGAUCUUGGUCGUGUCAUAGCAGAGAGGAAACUGCAUCUUGUAUAUGGAGGAGGUGAAUGAGGGUUAUCCAGACUUGUCUCAGAAGCUGUUUUUACUAGAAAAAGCCAAGUACUAGGCAUUAUCCCAAAAGCCAUGAAACCGCUAGUGUGCAUGUCUGGCCCACCAAUUGGAGAAGAAUUAGUGGUAUCAAGUAUGCAAGAGAGAAUAUCUGAAAUGAUGAAUCAUGCUGAUGCUUUUAUUUUCUUGCUAGGAGAUCUUGCAACUUUUGAGGCACUGAUUACGUUUGCAUCUUGGGCCCACUUGAACAUUUAUAAAAAACCCAUCGGUUUGUUAAAUGUUAAUAAUUUUUAUGAUGGCUUUCUAACUUUUAUUAACAAUGCAAUAAAGAAUCAUUUUGUUCCAUAUUCUGUAAAAAAACUCUUUAUCUCUGCUUCUACUACUAAUGAGUUACUUGAUCUUUUACAAGCUUAUACACCAGAGCCAGAUCCAAAGACUUUUGCACUGAAUUGGUCGACUGAUGAUGGUAGCGGUAACAGUAGCAGUAAUAAAAAGUACGAAUUAGAUUUAACUCUCCGUCUGUAAAUAUUUUAUGUUGCAGUGUUUAUGUACCGUCUUCUAAACUCUUUCUCUUUCCUUUUAAAACAUUGAGGACAAUGUCUUUUUCAGGUUGGGGGGAGGGAAUAGUUGAUAAUUGUGGAAUGUCUUAGUCCUAGUGAUGCUUUUACAAAUUUUUUUCCUGUAAAGACUAACUUUGGACUAAAUUUGAGUAGAAGAUGGCAGGAUAUGGAGAGUGCAGUACCUUUAGAAACGCAUCUUCUUAAAUUAGGGUUGACUAACUUAGGACAAAUUUGAGUCGAAGAUGGCAGGAUAUAGAGAAUGUAGUACCUCUAGAAACGCAUCUUCUUAAUCUUAAGAGUGUUGUUUAAAAAAAAAUUGACUUUUUCUUGUUCUUUGUUAUAUGCUUUUAAGCUUCUACAUCAAGUUCAGGUGAGAUCUCCUCCUCUUCUUCUUUUAUUAUUCUCCUUUAUUAUUAUUAUUAUUAUUUUUUGCAUAUUUGUAAAAUUAUAAAAUGUUAAGAUAAUGUUUAGAUUAGGUUGGGGGGUGGGGAGAGUUGACGUAUGUUUUUAAAUACGUGUGUUGUUUUUCUUUUUUUCUUUUCUUUUCUUUGUUUAAAAAAAACCCAAAAAAAAAAAUUAUUUUUGUCUAGGAUGGCUGUGCAAAGAGUCACGACUUUUGAGACGCAUCCUAAUAGUCUUGUUGUAUUAUAUUUUGAUUUUGAAAUUCAUAGUAAAUUGUUUUUAUUCCCUUUUCUUUGAAUUACUCGAAUUUGUGAACUCUCCACUUGGUUAUUAAAUUAUUUAAUUGUUUACUCAUUUAACAGGUAUUAUUGAAUCAUUCUUCACACACACACUAUGACACAUACUAGUGGGUUGGAAGUUAAAAUUUUACAGCAUUUAGUUCUUUUGAUUUAUUAGGAAUAGUAUCUAAGGUAGUAGAAAGUGUAUAUUGCAAAAAAACAAAAACAAAAAAAAAAACAAAAGAAGAAGAAAAAAAAAAGAAAAAAAUGUUUUAUUUUUUUUAUUUUGCUAUAUCUAGAACCCGAGUAAUUAAGUCAGUAAGGGUGUUUCAACACCUAGUGCCCUAAGGUCAACUGGUCUGGGAGUCACUGGCCUAAAGCUUGCUACAUGGGUAAUAGAUAUAUUGUUUGUUUAUUAGAAACCUGAGUAAUUAAGUCCGUAGGGGUGCUUCAACACCUAGUGCCUUAAGGCCAACUGGUCUGGGAGUCACUGACCUAAAACUCGCUACACGGGUUAGAAAUGUAAUAUUUUAAAAAUAUGUGUGAAUAAUCUACUGCCUAAAGAUAGAAUUUCUAAUCAAAAACAAAAAAAAAAACAAAAGAAGAAGAAAAAAAAAAGAAAAAAAUGUUUUAUUUUUUUUAUUUUGCUAUAUCUAGAACCCGAGUAAUUAAGUCAGUAAGGGUGUUUCAACACCUAGUGCCCUAAGGUCAACUGGUCUGGGAGUCACUGGCCUAAAGCUUGCUACAUGGGUAAUAGAUAUAUUGUUUGUUUAUUAGAAACCUGAGUAAUUAAGUCCGUAGGGGUGCUUCAACACCUAGUGCCUUAAGGCCAACUGGUCUGGGAGUCACUGACCUAAAACUCGCUACACGGGUUAGAAAUGUAAUAUUUUAAAAAUAUGUGUGAAUAAUCUACUGCCUAAAGAUAGAAUUUCUAAUGAAUUUUGGAACGAAAAUGUUGUUUUUCUUUUAAUGAAGCCCCAUAAGUAUUGUGUUAAUUACUUGAGCACAAAAGAAGGUUUGAUGAUAUUCUGGAUAAUGAGUGAAUAUCAAUGUUGUAAAGAAAUUUGGGAGAGUUCAUUUAUUUAGUAGUUUAGAGGAUAGAUGAACAACUAUUAACUUGCAUGUGAAUUUUAUAAAUCUUAAUUUAAUAUAACGCUUUAAUUGCUAGAGGGCUAGCAAUAAGCUGGUUGGGGGGUGUGAUUAGUAUUAAAAAUUGUUUAAUUAUCAAGCGAUAAUAAUAUAUUAGAAAUUAUUAAUUAUGUUUUAAAUAAAUUUAAUUUUGUGUAUUUUUAUGUGUUUAUUAGGAAAUAUAUUAAUUUCACGGAAUUCGAGGCUCCAAACAGAUAAACGGAGGUCAAAUUUGGAUUUCGGAGGUCUGGAAACCUUAAGAUCAGUCAAGAUCGGCUUAAAAUUGGGCUUGUGUAAAAAAAGUUGACUUUUUCUGUUGACCGAGCACUGAUUGGAUGAUGAAAUGAGCUUACAAUAGAUAUGAGUGCAUGGGAUAUCUGGUAAUUUUGACUAAAUCUCAACCAUUCAUGAUUCAAUGGCCAUGAUUGUGCCACGUGGCAAUGGUUAGUGAAGCAAGUUGUAGGAUCCGAAUCUUUGUAUACGGGUCGACCCGAUCCACUCAUUAACCCGCCAAAUCUCAACCGUUCUUUGGAUAAAUCAAACAAGUCAAAUGAUGCCACAAAUUCUGUCAAUCUCCCUGUAAUCUUGAUUUUCAGGUGUGUUUAUAAUAUUUUCUAUAAUUAUUUUUAUAAAUAAAAUUAGUUUUAUUUCCAAUUUAAAAUUUGGAUUUAUUGUAGACAAACAAAUGAAUUUGGCACAAUAAAUUCUUAAUAUCUUAAUAUACUGCUGUACCGUACAUCCGCCUUGGCCGUACAGAUAUAAGGCAUGGUGAAAUGGUAUUUUGACUUAUUGUAGACAAAUUAAAUUUUGACACAAUAAAUACUUAAUCCAUCAUAAAAUUAAAGGGAAAAUAAUAAUAAUUUACAAUUAAUCUUUUGGGAAAUAAAUCUAAAAAAAAAGGUAAAAAGAAUUUAUUAAGUUUUAUUUACUUCUAAGAGUGGAUCCAUAACCCUAACUAGCUCAAUUUCAUAGUUUCAUUUAAAUUAAGUUGUUUAUAUUUAAGUUUUAAUUUCAAUUUNNNNCAUAGUUUCACAUAAAUUAAGUUGUUUAUAUUUAAGUUUUAAUUUCAAUUUCAUUUUUUAGAUAAAAUAAAAUAAAUAAAUUAAAUCUUUUCUCUAAGGAUCGACCUCGGACUCAUUGAGCUAUAAUAUAAUAAGAUACUCUUAUAUUUGGGAGUUAAAAAUUACUUUUAAUUUAUGGGCCUAACUUCUCAAACUCUCAAUUGCUUGAACAUUGAUAAAGGUAUAAAAUUAAUGCUAGCCCCCAUAUCACAAAGUGCCUUACCAUUGUACUUAGUUCCUAUGGAAUUUGGGAUUGUGAAACUCCUUGGAUCUUUCAACUUCUGAGGAAUUUUGUUUUGAAGCAUAUGGCUACAUUCUUGUGUUAGAGCAACAGUUUCUAACUCUCCAAGCCUUUUUUUCUUUACCAAAAUACCUUUUAAGAACUUCACAUAAUUUGGCAUUUGUUCUAGGGCUUCCACAAGAGGAAUAUUAAUAUGUAGUUACUUUACACUUCCAAGAAUUUGCUGAAUUGCUUAUCUUACUCUUGCUUUUAGAAUCUUUAAGGGAAAGAUGAUGGGUAUCUGAACUAUUGUGCUAUUGUAGGCUGUACAGACUACUUCUUUUUUGCCAUGUUAUGGGCUGAUGUGGAUGGUGUUGUGGGAUCUUUACCAUCAUGUGGUGGAUCAUCAUUUUCUGUAGAUAUUGUAACUUGGCUAUUCACACCAGUGGGUCGGAAAGUAGGUUGUUGUGGCUCUUUUUCAAAUUGAGUUUCUUCUUGGGCUAAAAUGGGUUCAACGCUUCUUUUUGUGCACCAACUGAAAUAUAAACAUUAUUUCUAGGCCUUAAAUUAAUCACCUUGUAUUGUUCCUUUCCUUCUCAUCUUGGAUCCUCUGUAUUGUUGGGUAAACUACCCUGAGGUCUGUUACUCAAUGUUGUAACAAGCUAUCCAAUCUGAUUUUCAAAGUUUCUUAAGGAUACAACUUAACUCUGAACUACUGCUUCACUUUUCACAAUGUACUCUUUGAUCAAAGCUUCAAGAGAACUGAGUUGAUUAUUGUUGGUGCUUCUUUGCCUUUAAUUUUGUUGGUGAAAUCCAGGUGGUUGAGCAUGCCUAUUUUGUCCACUGGAUGCUGCAACAUUAUGGUUUUAAUUGCUCCAUGAGAAGUUUGGGUGCUGUCUCCAUCCAAGAUUAUUUUGAUUCUAUCUAUUGAAGUUACCCACAUAGUUAACUGAUGCUGGAUUUCCAAGACAAUUGUCAAAUAAAUGCCCUUUUCCACAAUAAACACAAGAGACCUCAUGUAACUUGGUUAACAGUUGCUGGAGCAGUAGUCACAACUUUCACCAUAUUUGUUAAUGAGGUUACUUGGGCUGAUAAUGUUGUCAAGGCGUCUACAUUAUGGAUUCCUUCUGCUCCUCUUGCUGCAGCUUCUUGGUAGAUGGCCACUUAUAAUUAUUUUUGCUAUCCUUUCCAAAAUUUCAUAAGCCUCAUUAUAAGACAUAUAUAACAAGGCUCCAAUUGCUGAAGCGUCCACCAUUAAUCUAGUGCUUGGAUUAAGAUCAUUGUAAAAGGUUUUCAAUUGUAUACAUCAAGGAAUGCCAUAAUGAGGACAUCUCCUGAGUAACUCUUUGAACUUUUCCCAUGCAUCAUACAAGCUCUCAUCUUCAAGUUGAUGGAAGGAUGUGAUCUCAUUUCUUAAUUUUGUACUCUUGGUUGGUGGAAAGUAUUUCAUCAAACAUUUGUUAGCCAAGUCAUUCCAUAUGGUGAUGGAAUCAGGUUGUAGGGAGUUCAACCAUGCUCUUGCUCGAUCCCUUAAAGAAAACGAGAAAAUUCUGCGGCUUAAUGCUUUAUGUGAUGCUCUAGUAAUCUUAAAAGCAUCACUUACUUCAAAAAACAACUUAAAGCAUAGGUGAGGAUCUUCUAAUGGCAGUCCAUUGAAUUGCCCCCCCACUAUCUAUAGCAUCUGAAACAUCACUAGUUUGAGCUCAAAAUUAUCAGCUUGCACUUCAGGUCUAACUAUUCCAGAAUUUAUGGCUUGAGGGGUCAGCACUGCAUAAUCUCUAGUGGCUUUAUCUCUAUCAUCUGCCAUAUGAAUAAUAUUAUUAUUCUCUGGUUGCCCAUAAAUAAUCUACCCAUUCUAACAUUCUUGACCUCCUUGUGCAUUUACUGGUUCAAUUACUCUACGAGGGUUCAAAUUCCUCAUAUCUUGCAAAUCAUCCAUUGCUACAACAAUUUUUGAAUUUCUUUACUCUUUUCUCAAUCUCCUUGUAGUUCUUUCAAUUUUUGGAUCAAACUAAAAUUCAACAGUUCUAUAUUGUGUAUGCAAGGGUUCCUAGAUUACUCUUGUUAACAAAAUAAACAAAUUAAAAUUAAAUUAAAAAUUAGCACCGAUUAAGAUUAAUUUCAUAAAUCACAACGAACAAUCAAUACCCGACAAUGGUGCCAAAAAUUUGUAGGGUGAUUUUUAUUGCUAUGGGUGUCAAUGUGCAAGUGUAGACAACAAGUAAUAUACUGAUGACUAUUUAGAUCGUCUCUACAGGAAUUGAUGUUAUCAAAUUUGCUACAACAAUCCUAACAGUAUAAUUUCUAUUUAAAUUAAAGCAAAAUAAUUAAUGAGACGAAUAAACUAACUAAAUUAAAAUGAAUGUAACAAAUAGUUUUCAAUGAGAAAAAAAUCUCAAGCCAACCACCAGGACAAACUCAAUGGGAAUAGAGUAGUUAAGUAAUUAAACUCACUUAAUGGUGUUGACUGUUUCUCUAAUUUAGACCCUGUUGCUACAGUACCUACUACAGCACUGGGCAGAAUCCCUUAUGCAUCCUCAGCUAUCGCCUGUUAGAUAUCUUAUAUCUAAAUGCAACUUAACAGUGACCAUUUGUUAUGCUAACAUCAUACAUAACAUUAUGCAUUGUAGGUUCCACUUACUCUACAAAGUGAAUCCUUAUGUCUAGUUCUUCUUAGAUCAAGCAUGGCCCUAUUCAAGUUAAGUAAAUCUCAACUUGAGAAAUCCAAUCUAAAAUCAAGUAUUGUCUUAAAUUGACCCACUAAGUUAGACAUUUUUUUAGGUUUUUUCUUAGCUAGUAUCCAUUAAAUGGGUGGUCAGCCCAAAUAGAGAAUUGCAAUAAAUAAAAUUAAGACAAAAUGCUAUAGCAAAUACAAAGCAACACACAUAUGUCAAUCAAACAUCCAUUAAGAUCGUUUCUCACUCAACCACAAUCAAAUUCAGUUCAUGAUUUGUGAUAGAAUAGUAAAUAAAUUGUUUUAACCAUUAAAUACAUCCUCAUCAAUAAAUAAAAACAAGAAAAUAAAAAAGAAGAACUGAGUUAUGCUUGGUUUUUGUAAUUUCUACUUUGUUUUCUCCUUGAGUCCUCUGUUAUAGCCCUCAAAUCUAUCUCUAAAUUUUUGUUUUCUUAUUGUUUUUCUUUGUAUUCUCCUUAACUAUAUUAUAAAAGAAUAGAAAAUAAAUUUGACUUGAAUUCACUCAGUUUUUUAUUUGAAUUAAAUUUAACUUGAAAGAAAGAUGAAUCAAGAGAUUUUUUGGUACGAUAUUGGAAUUUCAAGUACCUUUUCCCUCUCUUUUUAGCCUAGUCUAGACUCUAGAUGAAUCAAUAUCUUUUUGUUAUAAAGCAAUAAGAUUAUAAGAACUAGAAAUGUCAUUGUUGCAUAUCUUACAAAUAUGAAUGAUUUAGCAUUUAAAAAGCCCAAAAUUUUGUUUAAUAAAUCAUCAUUUUUUAUAAUUCAAAGGCUUUAUAAUUAUAUGUUAAGUUAUAGGUGCCAUAUUCCAAAAGGCACCAAAUCAUAUCAUGUGCCCAUCCUAUCAGAUAAAAGAAGGUAUUAAGGAAAAAUAACACUCAAGUUAUUUCGGGGUAAAUAACACCCAAGUUAUUCCGGGGGAAUAACACCUAAGGAAAAAUUCGUUCAAAGCUUAUAAAAAUGGCAAGAGGGGGGAAUUAGUUCCGCAAUCCUUUAGUCUAAGGAAAUCGCACCCAAAGGUCAUACAAUUAAGGAAAUACACAAGGUUGAAAUAUUUCCCUAGAUCAUAUUCACCUCCACGUGUACAAAAAUGAUGGGUGGCAUAUCAAAGCAAAACCCUAAAUCCACAUCAUUCAUCAUCUAUAAAUAGAGACCCAUCUCUAAGAGAAAGGAGGUUUUUGGCCUCCAAGAUCAUUGUUCAUCCUUAGAGAGAAAAAACUCAUUUUCUCCAUCUUUCUUCUUUAUUUAAUCUUGAUCAAACACUAACUUAGGCGUCGAAGUACCCUUUUCAAGUACUCACCCUUCCGGAAUCGAGGCCAACGAUUGUGACAAGUUCUCUACAAGCUACAAAUACGUGUAAAGGUAAAAAAUUCCAACACCUUCAUUGGAGCCGUCUAUGGGGAAACUAGGUUGAAAAUUUUUCUCUCACUAAAACCCACAUGAACACUACUUUACCAUCAUCUUUUUAGAUUAGAUCUGGUUGGGUGUAGUUGAAAAAGAGAUGAAUACUCAUAUAUGCUUAUGAAAAAUGGGUUUAUGUGUGACACUCAAACGUCAAACGUGCUUAAAAAGGCAUUAAAGCCAAAAAUCCAAGAGCAAAAAUGGAGAUCUCUCCUCCAAAUGCCUUACUGGAAAAAAAAAUAGAGAAAAUAAAGAAGAUGAAGGAGUCAUUUGGUCAACAUAAAACUUUGACCAAAAAUAAAAUGUCAACAAUAGUCAAAUGGGCUUAAAAUAGUCUCCAUGGCUAAACCUAAGACUAAUUUAUCAUUCAUUUUAUUUUCUCUUCAUUUUCCUUUUAUUAUGCUCAUUCCUAGCAACUAUGCUAACUUAUUUACGUUCCUGCCAUUCUAUUUAUUCUAUGAUACUUCUUUCUUUUUCCACGAGUGAGGCUAAGAAAAACCUAAGCAUCUACCUUACCAAGGGGAAUAUAUGAAGGGUAUUAAACGGACGUGGAUCAACAUAACUCUAUGUUUUAAUCUAACAAUUAUAAUAUUUUUUACUUUACUUGACUUACAAACGUGUGAGGCUAAGGAAAACCCAAAUAUUGACCUCCCGAUGGGAAAUAGAUAAAUGGGUAUUAUACCGACAUGGAUUAACUUAAUUUUCCUGACAUAAUAUGCAACUAAUAAUUAUCUUUACGCAUCUAACCUUUACAAUUACGUAUUUACUCUUCAGUUAUUUGCAAAUUUCAUAAUGUUAGAUGCUGAUUCUGGAAGGAAGUAGAAACUAUGGAAAACCAAAAAUUAAAUGCAAAAUUACCUGCAUUGGAGCAACAGUUAAAAGAGUAGCCUCGGAAAAGCUAAAAACAAGCAGAGAGACAAAUUGGUCACCAAAAGAGAGGGUCGGAACCCACAUAGAAUAAGCCCAAAAACAAAUAUAAUGAGCUGAUAGUGAUGAGGAACGAAGGUUCCAAAGAUGCCUAUGGAAGGGAACUCAAAAGAUCCUAAAGGAGCUCUAAAAAAAAUUUUCAGAUGUCAUCCACACCAGAUGAUGCAUGCUCUUAAGCAACAGCCAAAAGAGUAGCCCGGAAAAGCUAAAAAGAAACAAAGUGGUAAAUUGCUCACCAAAAGAGAUGGUCCAAAUUCACACAAAAUAAACAUAAAAAGGCACAUAAGGAACUGAUAGUGAUGAGGAACAAAGGUUCCAAAAAUGCCUACAGCAAAAAAUUCAAAAGAUCCUAAGAAGAAUCUAGAAAAAAUUUCCAGGUGGCUUCUACAGCAAAUGAUGCCAUUGUAGCAGCCCUAUUAGGAAAAAGUUAAAGUUCAUUUGAAUGACAUUCUAGACUAAUCUAAAUGAUUAUUUAGAUUGAUAUCUUGUAAAAGAGGAACAUUCUGUUUUAGCUCUUACAACUCUUGAAAAUAUUGAUCGAAUUGACAUUGUGCAACUCAUUUACUCGGGCAAUUGAUCACAAAAUGUAAAAACUAUUCCAUAGUCUCAAAAAACUCAUGCACUGCACUAAUGAGCAUUCGCAUGCAUAAACAUUCAUAUCUAUGCAUCUCACAGGAAUCCACAUUCAUCGUUGACUUAUGAGCGCUCAUGAUCAUCUCAUACAUUAUCAUAUAUGCUUCCAAAAAUCUCAAAAUUCAUUUUACAACCGACCAAAUUGCCUAUGGAAAUUUCUCAUUUCUUGGUACAACUUUAGUAUAUGAAAAAGUUCAAGGAACAAGGAAUUUUCCCUUUUAUGUCAAGAGAAAAGUAACAAAAAAUAUUCCCUCCUACGUCGAGGGAAAAUUAGAUUUCUAGAUCAAAAAACAAGAAAUAUUUCCUCCUACGUCAAGGGAAAAGGUGAAAGAACAAAAAAAAUUGGAAAAGCUGAAAGAAAAAAAAAAUUCCCUCAUACACCAAGGGAAAAGUAGAUUUCCUCCUAGAAUUUCAGUUCAAGGGAAAAGUUUUAGAAACAAUUAAUAUUCCUCUAUUAUAUUACAGGGAAAGUAGAUUUCCUCAUAGAACCUUAAUUCAAGGGAAAUAUCUAAGAACAAUUAAUAUUCCCUCUUAUGUUAAGGAAGAACAAUUAGUAUAUUUCCACAAAAAAAUUCCAGUUUAGGAGAAAAUUUCCCUAAUAAAAUUAUUCGAAACAACUUAUUUUUCCCAAGGCUAAUGUAAAGGAAAAACAUCCCUGAGCCAAUAAGAAGAAAAAUUUCCUUAAUGAAAGUCGUCCGCAAUAAAUCAUAUUUCCUAGGCUAACAAAGUGGAAAAAUAUUCCCAAGGCCAACACGCCCUCUUCAUUUCACCCAAACAAAAAUUGAUCGUGCAUAUCAGCCCAUAUAAAUCAACUAAGGUUCAGUUACCAACCAAAUGUUCCAUCCAACCAUAACAACAUAAUACCACACCUGACAAUUAUACAAGACACUAGAUUAAACAAAACUGAAGUACUACAUCCAGCCCUUGCUUGCCAAACGGAAAGCUUCUGAAGGGAUAGAACUGUUCAACUAGUUGAACAAAGUACUACAUAUGGGCGAUACAAACUUCUAAAGGUUUCGUUGCAAAAACUUUAUCAUUCUAUCAAAGAUAGAGGGUUGUUGUACCCCUACUACCUUUCAUCGGAAAAGAUCACAAGUGAGAUAGUAGCAGAUUCUAUUAAUUCCAUGCUGCCCAUGGGCAUACCACAUCAUUAUGUUGUGGUGUGAAAAAUCAAUUAGAAGAUUUAAUAAGAAAUCGUUACCUAAAUGAAUAUAUUGAUAAGAUUUAAUAAGAAACCGUUACCUAAAUGAAUAUGUUGAUGACUCUUUUCUCUUGGUAGAUCAAUCGUACAUACCAAAGGAGGCAGGUAUAGUAAACCUAAUAAGAGAAGAACCAACAACUAGAGUUAUCGCAAGAGGCCCCACACUAGCAGGAGGUUUCAAUAGGCCUGCAAAAAUUAUGGGAAAUAUACUAUGCCCAACCACAAUGUCCUUUUUAAUAAGCCUUUACCAGAGCUCACAAAAACUAGCCAAGUAACAUUUAUGUGGACCGAAGAUGACAAAGAAGAAGUGUUGUACCCUAAUGCAUAUGCACUAGUUAUUAAGGCAAAUGUAGCAAGCAAGGAGCAUAAUAAAAUUCUAGUAGAGUUAGGCAGUUUAGUUGACAUUUUUUUAAGCCAGUUUAGAUCAGAUGGGAACAACGGAUUUGAAGUUAAAGCCCAUCAAUACCUCAUUAAAAGGGUUUGGAGGAGGAAAUUGAUGUUAAUAGGAGUUAUGGACCUACCGAUCACUGUUAGGAUGAAACCUUUUGGAAAUAAAAUGAUGUUGACUUUAUAUAUAUAUAGGAAAAUAGUUCUUACUAGACCUACUAGAUAAUACUUAAGAGAACUUUUUUGAGAAUUAAUAAGUCUGUAAUGUCCACCUACUAUUUGAUACUUAAAUAUUGAAUAAAAUGGUAUGAUAAGGUAAGGUGACUAGAGGGUGGUGAAGAGCUGUUACGAAUCAGCGGCCAAUGAGACAAUAUAGAUCACAUCCUUUGACACGCGAGGAGAGUCUAAGAAAGGCAAACAAAAACCAAUGGAGACCCUAAUAAUGAUGAAAUCAAAUAAGCUUGAAAACCAUUAAGAUAGGAUCCAAGUUGGAGAGUGAAUUGAAAACUAGAUUACAAGAAUUUAUGUGGCAACGCUCUGAUGUGUUCGCCAAGAUGAUAAAAGAUCUUUCAAUCAAAAGAGAUACGAUGUUAUUAGUGUGGAGGUAGACAAGCUCUUGCAUGUUGGCUUUAUUAGAGAAGUAAGUAACCUUGAUUGGAUAUUUAAUACGGUGCUGGUGAAAAAGGCCAACGAUAAAUGGAGAAUAUGUGUAGAUUUCACAGACUUUAAUAAGGCAUGCCCAAAGAACAAUUUCCCAUUACCAAAAAUUGAUCAGUUGUUCAUCUCCACAUCAGAACACGACCUCCUCAGUUUUAUAGAUGGAUUUUCAAGAUACAAUUAGAUUCUCAUUUUCAAGUUGGAUAAGGAGCAUAAUGACUUUAUUAUUAAUCAAGGACUUUACAGUUACAAAGUAAUGCCCUUUGGCUUGAAAAACAAUAGAGCAAUAGACGAGAGGCUACUUAACAACAUCUUUAAGCCCUUGAUAGGUAGCUCAAUGGAAGUAUAUAUGGACAACAUGAUUAUCAAGUCUAAGGAUCUUACCGAUCACAUGUAGCAUCUAGAGGAGAACUUUAGCCUAUUAAGGAAAUACCAGAUGAAGUUAAAUCUAAAACAGUGUGUGUUUGGAGCAAGCAUCAGGAAAUUCUUAGGGUUCACCAGAAGCCACAAAAGAAUAGAAGCUAAUCCUGAGAAAAUUCGUGUUAUUUUAGAAAUAAGAUCGCCUCUCACAUUAAAAGAGAUACAGGUCUGAUAGGGAAUCUGGCAUCCCUAAAUAGAUUCAUCCUAAAGGCGGCAGACAAAUGUCAUAUUUUCUUCAAGAUCAUGAGAAAAUGAAACAAGACUGAAUAGACACUAGAGUGCAAGGAGGCUUUAGAGUAGUUAAAGGAUUACUUGAGUAGAGCACCAUUAUUGUCAAGUCCGCGAGCAAGGGACAGAUUGUAUAUUUACCUAGUAGUCUCCAGAUGGGCUUCCCGUUCAAUGCUAAUAAGGGAGGAAGCAGAAGCACAACACCCAGUUUAUUAUACUAGUGAAGCCUUCCUUGAUGUAAAGACUCGGUACCAACCAGUAGAGAAAUACGCCUUGGCAUUGAUGGCCCUUGUUCGAAAGCUAAGACCUUACUUUCAAGCAUACCCAAUUGAGGUUCUGACAAACUUGUCAUUGCGUCAAACCCUACACAAGCUCGAAGCCUCAAAGCGUUUAGUAAAGCGGUCAGUGGAAUUGAACGAGUAUGAUAUCAGCUAUAGACUGUGAGCAACAAUAAAGGUAUAAACACUAGUAGAUUUUGUAGUAAAGUGGUCAGAGCAACAUCAAAAAGCCCUUAUAGUUAAAGGCAAUGAGGAGCCAAAGAAGCUACCAGAAGAUACGAGCAGGAAUUGGUUGGUAUUAGCAAAUUAGUACUCUCGAGUUUGUGGAGCUGGAGCAAGGAUAGUCUUAUACAACCCUAAAGGCAAGAAAGUUUUUUAUGCUAUAAAACUCGAAUUAAAGGCGACCAACAAUAAAGCAAAAUAUGUAGCCUUCAUCAAUAGGUUGAAAUUAAAGCAUGCUUCACAAGACGAUAAAGUAAAAGUUAAAACAUAUUUCCAUCUAAUAGUGAAUCAUUUGAAUGGAAACUUUCUGGCAAAAGGGAGGGGAAAUAAAGGCAAACCUGAACAAAGCCAAGCAAAUGGCAACCAAAUUUCAACAACUCAUAAUAGAGCAUAUCUCGAGGGAAGAGCAUUACAAAGUAGACGUCCUUGUUAGGCUGCUAUCUCGGCACACUCUAAGAUCCCAAAAUACGUCCCGGUAGAGGCCAGGACUACACCAAGUGUCGAAGUCGAACUCGAGAUAAUGCAUGUUGAUAAAGGGGAAAGUUGGAUGGACCCAAUCAUUUCGUAUAUUCGAGAUGGGAAAUUGCUAGAAGACAAUAUCCAGCUACAGUACAAGGGGUGUAUCGUACCUUUCUUUUAUCUUUUUGUGCUACCAUCAUUAGAGCUGACACAAAAG